rnacentral:rRNA from 1 species
CCAAGAGCGUAUGUAAAAGUUGUUGCAGUUAAAAAGCUCGUAGUUGAACCUUGGGUUUGGUUGGCCGGUCCGCUUUUUUGCGAGUACUGGAUUCAACCGAGCCUUUCCUUCUGGCUAACCAGUCGUUUCGGCGGCUGGCGAACCAGGAUUUUUACUUUGAGAAAAUUAGAGUGUUCAAAGCAGGCAUUAGCUUGAAUAUAUUAGCAUGGAAUAAUAGAAUAGGACGUUAUGGUUCUAUUUUGUUGGUUUCUAGGACCAUCGUAAUGAUUAAUAGGGACGGUCGGGGGCAUCAGUAUUCAGUUGUCAGAGGUGAAAUUCUUGGAUUUACUGAAGACUAACUACUGCGAAAGCAUUUGCCAAGGACGUUUUCAUUAA